CAGCACCGGGCCAAGCCGUGGUUUAGACACCGGGUUCACAAUGAUCAAUGGAGCUAUGGAAACAGCAGACAUCGCGCCAGAGCCUGCUGGCCUCCCAUCUGGAGCCUCACAGGCACUGAAGGCGGAGCUGGAGGAACUUGGACUGACUUGCCAGGGUUGGAUUGUGCAGCCUGGCAGGGGUAUCCUGAAGUAAGAAACACCUGGGAGCUGAAUUGUUGCAGAAGCCCUGGACCCCAGCAGACGGUGAUAAGGAUGGUAUAGUGAAAACAAGUCUCUGGUCUCCCAGGAAAACAUGAGAUGCCUCCAGUCUCAGCCCUGCUAAUCUGUGUCACCAGGCAGGUGCUACUGGAAUGGGAAUUUUCCAGUACUAACAAACAAGCAACAGUGGUUAAGAUACAAGGUCCCAGCCCAUAAGGGGCUUUUGUUAUGACAGCCUCCCCUGAGAUCUGCCACAGCUGGACAAGGAGAAUGCUACUCGUACCUGUGGAUCUUGGAACCCCACUCUACUUGGCCACCAAGGAGCACCCAGGUAAGUGCACCCUCUGGAUGGCAGAGACCAGAGAGAAUAUUCUCACUGAUCAUAAAACCAAGCUCUUAGAACAUAGAAUAAGAUGAAAAGAAAAAACCUUAUUUGGAUCUUACAUAGGGGACCUACAGCAAAGUUUGUCCAAGCAGGUGUCAGUCUGAGGAGAACUAUGAAAUCAACAGUCUGUGAGGCUCACUUGAACAGCAGGCUUAAAAAAGUCCUGCAUUAUGUCCUAUGGUAAUUCCUUUUUAUUACAAAUGCCAAAAGAGAGAGAAAGAUAAACGGUGACCAUCUCUGGGAGGAAAUGAAAUCUGUCAAACCAAGAGUAUGCUGCCAAAUUUUCCAGAGUCACUAAGCUCAAGAAAGUAGUUCCACAAAUA